rnacentral:rRNA from 1 species
GGUGAAAUUCGUAGAUAUCAGGGAGGAACACCGGUGGCGAAGGCGGCUUUCCGGACCAAAACUGACGCUGAGGUGCGAAGGCGUGGGUAGCGAACAGGAUUAGAUACCCUGGUAGUCCACGCAGUAAACGUUGUACACUAGGUGUAGCGGGUAUUGACCCCUGCUGUGCCGGAGCUAACGCAUUAAGUGUACCGCCUGGGGAGUACGGCCGCAAGGCUAAAACUCAAAGAAAUUGACGGGGGCCCGCACAAGCGGUGGAGCAUGUGGUUUAAUUCGACGCAACGCGAAGAACCUUACCCCAGACUUGACAUCCUGUGAAUCUCUUAGAAAUAAGAGAGUGCCUUCGGGAGCACAGAGACAGGUGCUGCAUGGCUGUCGUCAGCUCGUGUCGUGAGAUGUUCGGUUAAGUCCGGCAACGAGCGCAACCCUUGUCUUCAGUUGCCAGCACGUAAAGGUGGGAACUCUGAAGAGACUGCCCCGGUUAACGGGGAGGAAGGUGGGGAUGACGUCAAGUCCUCAUGGCCCUUAUGUCUGGGGCUACACACGUGCUACAAUGGUAUGUACAAAGGGCAGCAAGCAUGCGAGUGCAAGCCAAUCCCUUAAAGCAUAUCCCAGUCCGGAUUGGAGUCUGCAACUCGACUCCAUGAAGUUGGAAUCGCUAGUAAUCGUGGAUCAGCAUGCCACGGUGAAUACGUUCCCGGGCCUUGUACACACCGCCCGUCACACCAUGAGAGUUGAUUGUACCCGAAGUUACUGAUAGCCAACCCAUUUGGGAGGCAGGUACCUAAGGUAUGGUUGAUAAUUAGGGUGAAGUCGUAACAAGGUAACC